UGGGAAUCUUGGACAAUGGGGGCAACCCUGAUCCAGCCAUGCCGCGUGGGUGAUGAAGGCCUUAGGGUCGUAAAGCCCUUUCGCCGGGGAAGAUAAUGACGGUACCCGGUAAAGAAGCCCCCGGCUAACUCCGUGCCAGCAGCCGCGGUAAUACGGAGGGGGCUAGCGUUGUUCGGAAUGACUGGGCGUAAAGCGCGCGUAGGCGGAUCAGGAAGUUGGGGGUGAAAUCCCGGGGCUCAACCUCGGAAUGGCCCUUCAAAACUCCUGGUCUUGAGUUCGGGAGAGGUGAGUGGAAUUCCGAGUGUAGAGGUGAAAAUUCGUAGAUAUUCGGAGGAACACCAGUGGCGAAGGCGGCUCACUGGCUCGACACUGACGCUGAGGUGCGAAAGCGUGGGGAGCAAACAGGAUUAGAUA
rnacentral:rRNA from 1 species